AAAGAAACUAACAAGGAUUCCCUUAGUAACGGCGAGUGAAGUGGGAAAAGCUCAAAUUUUAAAUCACCUGGGUUUCCUUGGUGAAUUGUAAUUUGAAGAAAGUGUUUUGACGUUCGGGAACGAUUUAAAUCCUUUGGGAUAAGGUAUCAUAGAGGGUUAGAAUCCCGUUUAUGAUUGUUCCUUUGAAUGUCUAUAAUUCACUUUCCAAGAGUCGAGUUGUUUGGGAUUGCAGCUCAAAAAGGGUGGUAAAUUUCACCUAAGGCUAAAUAUAUGCAAGAGACCGAUAGCGAACAAGUACCGUGAGGGAAAGAUGAAAAGAACUUUGAAAAGAGAGUUAAAUAGUACGUGAAAUUGUUGAAAGGGAAACGAUUGAAGUCAGUCGUGCUGGCGUGAAAUCAACCCUCUCAUUGCGAUACCACAUGUUGUGGCGAGCCUCAAAACCGCCACAGCAUGCGGUAUCGCGAUGAGGGGGAGCACUUUUGUGUCUGCUGGUAAACAUCAAUUUCGAACGUCAUAAAAAGGCUGGAGGGGAUGUGGCUCCUUCGGGAGUGUUAUACCCUUUAGCGGAAUGUGGUGGUCGGGAUUGAGGAUUGCAACGAAUACCUUUAGGGCUGUUCCACCUGGCCUCUCUUUGGUAUCCUGGUGACGACAGCUUGCUGACGUUGUUAGGAUUCGCCAUUGAACAGGCUAGAGUGUGAGCAAAUUCGUUAAGGAUGUGACGUA
rnacentral:rRNA from 1 species